UUGUCUUCAAGUAUUAGAAGUUAGCAGUUUGUCUUCAAGUACCUGAUUAUAAGUCUUCAAGAUGUCUCCACCAAUGUACGAUCUUCAAACUAAAGACAAUAACCAAGAUGUAAAGGUGGUUUUCCCUUCAGCAAAUGUUAUGCAACAACCAACAGUGAAGAAAAACAACAAAAACUAUUGUUUAAUUGCUGCAUCAGUGAUAAGCGCUGCUGUGGUUAUAACUCUUGGUGCUAUCGGUUCUGUGGCACUUUACCAACAUAUGAACAAACCAGAGGAAUACAAUACUGAAACGCUUUAUAAUGGACAACAUAUUCCUGAACAUGCCCGUGUGGAUUAUGUAAAUAGAAUAACUUAUGUUAAUAAUACACAGUAUGGUGAAGUGUUGGCUGGCAACAAUUUACAUGAUUAUAAUAGAAAAUUGUUAGUAUUUAAAGAUGUGGCUAAUAAAGUUUGUUAUAUUGAUAAAUUAGAGGGGACAUUUGAAGAAGGUAUAGCUUUACUUGCUCAAAAG